rnacentral:rRNA from 1 species
GGGUUAGUAGGUUGGUCAUGCCUCUGGUAUGUACUGAUCUCACUGAUUCCUCCUUCCUGAUGAGCCGUAAUGCCAUUAAUUUGGUGUUGCGGGGAAUUUGGACUGUUACUUUGAAAAAAUUAGAGUGUUCAAAGCAGGCCUUUGCUCGAAUACAUUAGCAUGGAAUAAUAGAAUAGGACGUGCGGUUCUAUUUUGUUGGUUUCUAGAGUCGCCGUA